UACAGAGGGUGCGAGCGUUGUUCGGAAUUAUUGGGCGUAAAGCGCUUGUAGGCGGCUCGUCAAGUCGCGUGUGAAAUCCCCAGGCUUAACCUGGGAAGUGCGCGCGAAACUGACGAGCUUGAGUGCCGGAGAGGGUCGCGGAAUUCCCGGUGUAGAGGUGAAAUUCGUAGAUAUCGGGAGGAACACCAGUGGCGAAGGCGGCGACCUGGACGGACACUGACGCUGAGGUGCGAAAGCGUGGGGAGCAAACAGG
rnacentral:rRNA from 1 species